rnacentral:snoRNA from 1 species
AAGAUGGCUCCUCUGUUUAUAACACACCUAACAGGAAUCUGGGAUCCUUGUGAUAAGGGACACAAAACUUGUGGCCUCUGCAAACAAAUUCUGUACAUCU